UGGGGAAUAUUGCACAAUGGGCGCAAGCCUGAUGCAGCCAUGCCGCGUGUAUGAAGAAGGCCUUCGGGUUGUAAAGUACUUUCAGCGGGGAGGAAGGGAGUAAAGUUAAUACCUUUGCUCAUUGACGUUACCCGCAGAAGAAGCACCGGCUAACUCCGUGCCAGCAGCCGCGGUAAUACGGAGGGUGCAAGCGUUAAUCGGAAUUACUGGGCGUAAAGCGCACGCAGGCGGUGUGUUAAGUCAGAUGUGAAAUCCCCGGGCUCAACCUGGGAACUGCAUCUGAUACUGGCAAGCUUGAGUCUCGUAGAGGGGGGUAGAAUUCCAGGUGUAGCGGUGAAAUGCGUAGAGAUCUGGAGGAAUACCGGUGGCGAAGGCGGCCCCCUGGACGAAGACUGACGCUCAGGUGCGAAAGCGUGGGGAGCAAACAGG
rnacentral:rRNA from 1 species